AGCCCGAGGUGGAGGGUUGGUCGCCACCAGAAAGCCGCGGUCACUUCUUUCUGAAAGGAGUGGAGUCAACGUAACUACAGCUUUCUCACUGAGUCAUACCAGCUGUUGCAAGUAAUGCUGAACAAAAAUAAUUCCCCGGUUACUCUGCCUGUGCUUUUGCCUGUGGUUAACUUCACUGUUUUUGUUUAAGUCAGUUUCUUCUUUGGUGUGCAUCUGUGACAUAGCAGGAAAGAUGUGCCUGUGUAAGUAAGCUUCACAAGUCGUUUAGGAGAUGUAUAGGAAAAUAUAGAACUGCUUUUAAGUAACUCUUGAAAGUUGGCUAGAUUUUAAGCUGACUCUGCCCUUUUAACAGAUGCUCAGAAGAGUGACUGCUCUUUAUUGCCUCAGCAUACCAUCUUGGGAUAACACAUCAGCCAGUCUGAUGGAAUAUUUUAUGUAGAGUUACUACUUCCCGUGAGUCAUUGCUGAAAGUGGCAAUUACGUCUGCAAGAACACAGCAUCAUUCAUGUCCCUUGCUAGAAGUCGUACAUUAGGGGGGGGUUGUGUUGGUCCUAAGAAUCAUAGAGUUCUAUAGAAGUGUUGCUAGUAAGACACAAAAGACUGAAUAAUUACUUCUUUUUUUUUUUUCUGUGUUUGAGCAUACAGUUGAACCCCAAACUUCUAUCAGUCUGCAAGGUGAGAAAACACAUCCUCUUCCAGCAGUGACUCGGCAGCGUGUUAGCCAUCAAAGCUAGGUUUAAAGUAACAUGUUCAGAUAACUUUAAUUCAGUGUUUGUGUUCAAACUGAUCAAACAGCAAUCUGUAUUGCUACUGUUUGUUUUCAGUAAAUUUGAAACUGGGAAAGACAAUCCAGAGGAGUUGAUGAAGUUUAAAGUACUGGCAAUAAAAAGAGUAAAAGAAGACAAGCCAGAUGAUUACUGGGUAAUAUCCAUGUAGCCAAAAAAAUGUAUAACUGAUAGGUAAUCUGUUAAAGGAAAGCAGUAAAGCUAAUGUUCAUGGGUAUAUGAAAAACAGAUCUGACCACAGUUUUAUUAAACACACUUGACAAAAAA